UGGGGAAUAUUGCACAAUGGGCGCAAGCCUGAUGCAGCCAUGCCGCGUGUGUGAAGAAGGCCUUCGGGUUGUAAAGCACUUUCAGCGGGGAGGAAGGCGAUAAGGUUAAUAACCUUGUCGAUUGACGUUACCCGCAGAAGAAGCACCGGCUAACUCCGUGCCAGCAGCCGCGGUAAUACGGAGGGUGCAAGCGUUAAUCGGAAUUACUGGGCGUAAAGCGCACGCAGGCGGUUUGUUAAGUCAGAUGUGAAAUCCCCGGGCUCAACCUGGGAACUGCAUCUGAUACUGGCAAGCUUGAGUCUCGUAGAGGGGGGUAGAAUUCCAGGUGUAGCGGUGAAAUGCGUAGAGAUCUGGAGGAAGACCGGUGGCGAAGGCGGCCCCCUGGACGAAGACUGACGCUCAGGUGCGAAAGCGUGGGGAGCAAACAGG
rnacentral:rRNA from 1 species